CUAAUUCUGUUUAAGAAGCAGAGUGGGAGUCUUCUUCCUGGCUGCUGUGGGGGUUCUUGGUUGUCGAUGACUUCUCUGUCAGAACUGUUGACAGCAAAAUGUCUGCAGGAAAUGCCAAAAUUGGGCACCCUGACCCCAACUUCAAAGCCACAGCUGUUAUGCCAGAUGGUCAGUUCAAAGAUAUCAGCCUACAUGAUUAUAGAGGAGAAUACGUUGUGUUCUUUUACCCUCUUGACUUCACCUUUGUCUGCCCCACGGAGAUUGUUGCUUUCAGUGAUAGGGCAGAAGAAUUUAAGAAACUUAACUGCCAAGUGAUUGGUGCUUCUGUGGAUUCUCACUUCUGUCACCUGGUGUGUGGAUCAACACACCUAAGAAACAGGGAGGACUAGGACCCACAAGCAUUCCUUUGGUGUCAGACCCCAAGCGCACCAUUGCUCAGGAUUAUGGUGUCUUAAAGGCUGAUGAAGGCAUCUCGUUCAGGGGCCUCUUUAUUAUUGAUGAUAAGGGGACCCUUUGGCAGAUCACUGUGAAUGACCUCCCUGUUGGUUGCUCUGUGGAUGAGACUCUGAGACUGGUUCAGGCCUUCCAGUUCACUGACAAACACGGGGAAGUGUGCCCAGCUGGCUGGAAGCCUGGCAGUGAUACCAUCAAGCCUGAUAUCUAGAAGAGCAAAGAAUAUUUCUCCAAGCAGAAAUGAGCACUGGGAUAUUUUAGUGCUGGGCUGCAGUGGCAGCCAUGAGAACAAAACCUCUUUUGUACUUUUUUU